GUGGAGCAGGUGGGGCUGGGAGACCCCCUCCCCGGAUCUGGCUUAUGAAUCCCCUUGGUCUUCGCUGCAGCCCCCUGCUCAGGGCCACGCUCUUGACCCCACACUUCUCCGUCCCCUGCUCCCUGCUCCCAUCUCUGAGAAGCCCUGUACAUGGUGCCCGUGUGCGUCUGGCAGCUUCCCAGGACCUGCUGCAAUUCCCAUUCUCACAACAAGCCCUUAUGGUCUUAGAGGCAGCUGGGUGCCCCAUGGAACCCAUUCACAUGCCAGGUUUAGAAAAUACCCUGUAGGCCAGACUGCCGUGUGGUGCCAGGUGCUGGUGGCAGCUGCCCUCUGACCUCAGUGCCUUCUUGUGCUCCCCUCCCCAGCCACCCGAGGAGAGACACCUGUGCGGGAUCCACUGUGUGUUGGAAACUCCCUCCACACUCCGCCCGUGCCUCAUUGAGUGAUGACGGGAGCUCAGCAAAACAGCUUUCCAGACUGUUCAGUGGGACCUUUCUUUGAGGGGCAGUUGUCCCUUGUGUGUGACCCUCCUUCAAGGCCCUUGGCUUCCGCAGCUUGAUUCUGCACUCCGAGUCCAUUCACCUUCUCCCAUCCAAUAGCAUCCAACCCCGCUGCUACUGCUGCCAACCUGGCCUUGGGAGCAAUGAGGACAAGGAAGGGACAAGACCCCUUUUAGGCCAGAACUGCCUUCAGAUCAGCCACGCUCCAUGGGACUGUACCUCUGCCCUGGAGGCUGGAGAGGUCAGUGGCUGCAGACUGUCUCAAGGAGCCCCUGGCCCUGCCCACCUAGCCAGGGGUGCAGCCUUGCCAGAGAAGCAGAGAAGCGUCUGUGGCUGGGUGGGUGAUAUUGAAAGAUUCCUUUCACCAGGGUGGAAGCCAGGAUCUGAGGCGUGAUGGAAUGUGGACAGUGAGGCAGUGACAGCGCCACAAGGCAGGAGUCAUCUCCAGGCACGUCCUUGGCCUGGAGCCCAUAGGGACAAGCUCCUGGUGGUGCCUCACUUUGCCAUCCUCUCUAAGCCGCAGACCUUGAAUGGAAUCAGUGCUCAAGAGUCUAAUUGGGCCCACUCUGAGGAUGCCUGCGGGAAUAUCAGCUUUUACCGCACCACACUGCACUUUACAGUGUGGGAGGGCCUGCCCCACGCACCACCUCACCUGUACUGCGGUUCUCAAACUUCACCCUACAGCCAUUCUGUUGUAGGUGAUCUCAGGGGCAGUUUGAGAAACAGUGGCUCAGGGUCUCACAGCAGCCCUCUGAGAUAGGUUGGUUGCUAUUGUCCCGAUUUUUUCUCAUCAAGAAACUGAGGCUCAGGUGAGCUAAGGAAUGUGCCCAGGGCCACUGUUUAUAAGAAGUAGCCUCAAGCCUUGCUCAUGGUUACUGCCCUGACAGGGAUCUAGGAAAGAGUGAGCAGGAGAAUGGGAUGAGGCAGGACCCUCCGCCCCAGCCCUGCUUUCUCUGCCCAGACACCUCCUGCCUUGCAGACCCAACCCCACCCCAGAUGGUUUCCUUUCCAGUCACCCAGCUGCUAGUUCUCCAGGUUCCUGGUCUCACUCCAGGUUCCUCCUGUUAGAGAAGCAUCCCAGAGACAUUCAUUCCUGGCAAGGACACAGGCCUGCGGACCUGAAGGUCAGGUGGGCAGAGCCACAUAAGAUCUGGUGCCCCAUCCUCCAUUUAAAAAAUUAUACUUUCCAACGGCAUUGGUAUAAAGGUGAAUAUAUUAAUAUCAUAUAUUAAAACAUUUUCUUUGACAUAAAGGUUUCUUUCUUCUGCCUUUAAAAUAAAAUAUUUUG
rnacentral:lncRNA from 1 species